rnacentral:lncRNA from 1 species
ACUGCAUGUAUUGUCGCUUACACCGUAGCCUGUAUCAAGAGUGCUCGGAUAUGUUCCAACAUGAUAGCUUUCAAAAGUAAACUGUGAGACAUUACUCGAACAGAAGGUGAAAUAUUAACAGGAGGCAAACCCUGGACCUAAUUUAACUAACUGUAUAUUAGAUAUACAGGCUUGGUAUGGCCGGGAAAAGGUCUCGGUUUCUGGUGACCUUAAGUCAGAUAAUAAGUAUAGUGAGAACACAAAACAUAAAUAAUAUUGCACCAGAGAGAUAAAAGUUGUAAACAAGAGUAUUUCAAACUGCAAUGUUUUUCUCCAUUCAAAUCAUUUGAUGGUCUGCUCCCACCAGAUAACUAAUAUAACAGAACCAGAACAAGUAUCAUGUUCCAAACACUCCAUUCUUUCGAUAUCUUUCCUCCAGCCUAACUGAAUAACACUUGUUCUCACUUUAUGUGCU